CCUGGUUUCAUUUGGGGAGAACAGUCCUUGCUUCGUCGUGGGAUUUGGCGUGGAAGGCCGAAGGCUAUCGCGUGUGUAUCCAAACGGUGCGUUGGUGCCUCGGUUGCCAGAGGGGUUGCGUUGCCCUGUGGGAAGCUGCCAGCUGACUCGUGGGGUGGCUAGCUUUGUGGCAUUGUCUUUGGAUGCUAGCAGCGGAAUGUGGCGCGUUUGUGUUCGGAGCUCACAAUGGAUAGUGGCCUUGUAGAACCAUCUCCAGCCUAACGAUCUGCGGCUACUUGGAGAUUCUGUCCCUCGACCUCCCACGGCUUCGGUGGCUGCUGUUUUGUUUCGAUCCGGCUCACGCUCGGGAUUCGUCAACCCGGCGGGCUCUCGCUACCUUUGA